rnacentral:rRNA from 1 species
GUUAGUACGCGUGGGAACGUACCUUUUGCUUCGGAAUAGCCUCGGGAAACUGGGAGUAAUACCGAAUGUGCCCUUUGGGGGAAAGAUUUAUCGGCAAAAGAUCGGCCCGCGUCUGAUUAGAUAGUUGGUGGGGUAAUGGCCUACCAAGUCUGCGAUCAGUAGCUGGUUUGAGAGGAUGAUCAGCAACACUGGGACUGAGACACGGCCCAGACUCCUACGGGAGGCAGCAGUGGGGAAUCUUAGACAAUGGGCGCAAGCCUGAUCUAGCGAUGCCGCGUGAGUGACGAAGGCCUUAGGGUCGUAAAGCUCUUUCGCCAGGGAUGAUAAUGACAGUACCUGGUAAAGAAACCCCGGCUAACUCCGUGCCAGCAGCCGCGGUAAUACGGAGGGGGUUAGCGUUGUUCGGAAUUACUGGGCGUAAAGCGCACGUAGGCGGAUUAGAAAGUUGGGGGUGAAAUCCCAGGGCUCAACCCUGGAACUGCCUCCAAAACUACUAGUCUAGAGUUCGAGAGAGGUGAGUGGAAUUCCGAGUGUAGAGGUGAAAUUCGUAGAUAUUCGGA